GUUAAGCGACUAAGCGUACACGGUGGAUGCCCUGGCAGUCAGAGGCGAUGAAGGACGUGCUAAUCUGCGAUAAGCGUCGGUAAGGUGAUAUGAACCGUUAUAACCGGCGAUUUCCGAAUGGGGAAACCCAGUGUGUUUCGACACACUAUCAUUAACUGAAUCCAUAGGUUAAUGAGGCGAACCGGGGGAACUGAAACAUCUAAGUACCCCGAGGAAAAGAAAUCAACCGAGAUUCCCCCAGUAGCGGCGAGCGAACGGGGAGCAGCCCAGAGCCUGAAUCAGUGUGUGUGUUAGUGGAAGCGUCUGGAAAGGCGCGCGAUACAGGGUGACAGCCCCGUACACAAAAAUGCACAUGCUGUGAGCUCGAUGAGUAGGGCGGGACACGUGGUAUCCUGUCUGAAUAUGGGGGGACCAUCCUCCAAGGCUAAAUACUCCUGACUGACCGAUAGUGAACCAGUACCGUGAGGGAAAGGCGAAAAGAACCCCGGCGAGGGGAGUGAAAAAGAACCUGAAACCGUGUACGUACAAGCAGUGGGAGCACGCUUAGGCGUGUGACUGCGUACCUUUUGUAUAAUGGGUCAGCGACUUAUAUUCUGUAGCAAGGUUAACCGAAUAGGGGAGCCGAAGGGAAACCGAGUCUUAACUGGGCGUUAAGUUGCAGGGUAUAGACCCGAAACCCGGUGAUCUAGCCAUGGGCAGGUUGAAGGUUGGGUAACACUAACUGGAGGACCGAACCGACUAAUGUUGAAAAAUUAGCGGAUGACUUGUGGCUGGGGGUGAAAGGCCAAUCAAACCGGGAGAUAGCUGGUUCUCCCCGAAAGCUAUUUAGGUAGCGCCUCGUGAAUUCAUCUCCGGGGGUAGAGCACUGUUUCGGCAAGGGGGUCAUCCCGACUUACCAACCCGAUGCAAACUGCGAAUACCGGAGAAUGUUAUCACGGGAGACACACGGCGGGUGCUAACGUCCGUCGUGAAGAGGGAAACAACCCAGACCGCCAGCUAAGGUCCCAAAGUCAUGGUUAAGUGGGAAACGAUGUGGGAAGGCCCAGACAGCCAGGAUGUUGGCUUAGAAGCAGCCAUCAUUUAAAGAAAGCGUAAUAGCUCACUGGUCGAGUCGGCCUGCGCGGAAGAUGUAACGGGGCUAAACCAUGCACCGAAGCUGCGGCAGCGACACUAUGUGUUGUUGGGUAGGGGAGCGU
rnacentral:rRNA from 1 species